rnacentral:lncRNA from 1 species
GUAAUUAGUUUUAAGAAAUGAUGGAGUGGGAUAUCCAAAUAUGGAAUCGCGGUCCAUCCGGAAUUAAAAUGUUACUCCAGUAUUCUGAAAAAAUGAAUAUAGGCAUCGUCUGCGAAAUUAUCAUUUUUAUCUCUCAUCUACGCUGUGCCUGUUUCUAGGGCUUUUUUUCUCUCACACAGUCCAUCAACCUCUCUCGAAAACUUAUAUAUCUCACACCCCCACUCUCUCCAAAUCAAAUUCCAUUCAAUCACAAGCUUUCAAUCCUCGCUCAAUUGCCAAUCGCGAUGCCGCGCCGGAGAGACGAAUACGAGGACGACGGCGAAGACGAGGAGGAGUACGACGCCGUUGAUGAAGAGGAUGAUGAGGCCGACGACUACAACGACGGGGGGAAGGUCAAACGGAAGCGGGGUAGAUCAGAUUUCAUCGACGACGAUGCGGAUGAAGACCAGGAGGAAGAGGACGACGACGAUGAGGAUUAUGGCGGUGGCGGCAGCAGAGGAGGAGGAGGGAAGCGCCAAAGGAAGGCGGCCUCGAAUUUUUUUGAUUUGGAGGCGCAGGUUGAUACCGAUGAGGAAGAGGAGGAAGAGGAAGGGGAUGACGGUUAGUAUGAUUCUUCCUUUAUUUUUUGCGUAGGGAUAGAGUUCAUUGUUAAUUUCGAUUUUGUCUCUUUGUUAAUCUACCAAUUGUGGCUGGAAAUUGGAAAAUUAAGGAGAGAGGUUGCUUGGCCAAGAACAGGAGUGAACUUUGGGAAGUAGGGUUUUUGUUCCAUCUUUGUGCGUAAUUUUACGAACUAACACUGGGAUAUGUAAUUCCGCUCUCCGAGGCGAUAGGACUAUGCCUAUUCGUAUCAUGAAUACGUAACAUAAACGGCAAAAGUGAUUUGAUUUGAAUAGCCGAACAACCAACAACAAAAUGCAGCCUUUCACAGUCUGAAACGUUCAAUUUUUGUCCCUUUCAAUUUCUUGUCAUCUAAUAGCAUGCGUUAUAAUUUUCUGGUAUUUACAAUUUCAGAGUGCAGGUUUUGUGAAUGCGGAGUGCUUUGACUAUUUAGGACUGAAUUGCUUGAUAGUUGGAUUUUUGCUUUUACGUCUAUUCAAUUUCCUAAAAUUUGGGGCCCUUAUUUUAUUGUAGGAACGAGUAGAUCCUUGCUAGUUUUACUGUCUUUCUUCUUGUGAUUUUUAGGUUCUUUCUCAUUAAAGCUUCACUGUAUCUGCAUAUUGUUUUCUAUAUCUUUGUGUUGAGGCUCUUGGCACUUGUGUCGGGACAUCUGAUAAUGCAUACCAUAUGUAGCAAUAUUAAGUUAUUGAAAUGCUUGAUAGUUAGAACCCUAUGAGAUUGGUAUUUAAUCUCAUAUUUAAAUGAUGGCNGAGAGAGAGAGAGAGAGAGAGAGAGAGAGGUAGGUGGGGGUUGGAGACGAGAGAGAGAGAGAGAGAAGCAGGUGGGUUGGUUGUGGGAGGAGAGAGACUUAAUUAAAUGCUUAAUUGAGUCCUAAUUAUUGCCAAAAAAGGAAAGGGGACUUGUUACUUGGGACGGCUUAAAAAGGAAUACGGGACUUGAAUAUUGGGACGGAGGGAGUAUAUAUUUUGAGAUUAUGGGCUAGCAUAUUAUAUCUUAAAAUAGGUCAAACAGAAACUGAACUAAGGCCUAAAUUCUAAUAGUCUAAUUUAAAUUUGAAUUUUGUUGAGCAAUUAUAGAAUUUUGUUGGAUUUUAUAUUUUAGUUGAUGAAUUUGAAUUUAAACAUUGUUCUUUGUGGAUUUCAACAUAUGGAUUUGAAUUAUGUUAUUUGUAUUGAUUUUUUUUUCUAUUAAAUUUGUGUACAUUUAUAUUUAAAUUUUGUUUCGUGAGUAUCCGGCGGAUAGCGAAUAGCGGGUGACGGAUACCCGCCGGAUAGCGGGUUCGUGGAUACCCGACGGGUAGCGGGUAUCCGCAGGUAGCGGGUUUAGAUACCAUUUCAUAUCCAUGGAUAGUUUCGUGAUUAAAAACUACUAUUCAUUUAAUUCGUGGGUAUGAGUAUGGAUAGUCACUAUCCGUAUCCGUCGUACCCGAUUGCCAUCCUUAGAUGGAGGAAGUAGUUAAGUUUAGAAGUAGUUUAUAAAUACAGAGAAAGCCAUAAAGGUAAUUAGUUUUAAGAAAUGAUGGAGUGGGAUAUCCAAAUAUGGAAUCGCGGUCCAUCCGGAAUUAAAAUGUUACUCCAGUAUUCUGAAAAAAUGAAUAUAGGCAUCGUCUGCGAAAUUAUCAUUUUUAUCUCUCAUCUACGCUGUGCCUGUUUCUAGGGCUUUUUUUCUCUCACACAGUCCAUCAACCUCUCUCGAAAACUUAUAUAUCUCACACCCCCACUCUCUCCAAAUCAAAUUCCAUUCAAUCACAAGCUUUCAAUCCUCGCUCAAUUGCCAAUCGCGAUGCCGCGCCGGAGAGACGAAUACGAGGACGACGGCGAAGACGAGGAGGAGUA